UACAGCAUUCCUCGAUUGAAUACUUUAAUUUCCUGUGUUAUUUAAGUAGCCACUUCUUUUAAAAAGUUAUCUUAUUAUCAUUAAGUCUGCUAUUACAGAGCAUGGUAAGUUAUUAUUUAUUUACUUAGAAAUGAAAGUCCGUCUGAUCUGAUAAUGUCUGCUUUUGUUGUUUGUCAAUGAAUUAAAGUUGUUAAACACAAUUGAUACUUUGUUUAACAUGUUUAAAUAAACCCAUCAUAGAUACCAAGACUAAAUUUAGUAUAUACGUCAGUCUACAAAAGACUCAUCAGUGACACUCGAAUCCCAAAAAGUAAAAAAAUGCCAAAUAAAGUACGAAGUUGAAGAGCAUUGAGGACCAAAAUUCCGAAAAGUUUUGCCAAAUGCAGCUAAGGUAAUCUAUGCCCGAGGUAGAAAAACCUUAGUAUUUCAAAAAAUUCAAAAAUUUGUAAACAGUAAAUUUACAAAUAUAACCAUAUCAAUGACAAUUCAUGUCAGCACAAAAAGUGCUGACUACUGGGCUUGUGAUACCCUCGGGGAAAUAAAUCUCUACCAGCAGUGGCAUCGACCAAGUGGUUGUAAACUCAUCAUAGAUACCAGGACUAAAUUUAGUAUAUACGCCAGACGCGCGUAAUUGAUGGUAUAUGUAUAAUAUAUAGUCCGUUGUGUAGCUCGUGGAAUAUGAUAAAUAUUACCAACUCUACUCCUCGCCGUAGACGCAGUCAUGGUCAUCGUCAUUAUACAUCACCUGCUCUGUACGAUUUGAUGCCAUAUAAAUAAAAGCGGUUAGGUAUCAUAACUAUUACCCCUUAAAACUUAAGUUUCUGUUGUGUCGUUAUUCCCCUCUUAUAUUUGAUGUGUUUCCCUCAGUUUUAGUUUGUAACACGGAAUUGGUUUUAUUUCAAUCGAUUGAUGCAUUUCGAAAGAAGGGAUACAUCCUACUUUGUACAGGAUCACUCUGAUUCAACAAAACUUUUUUUUUUAAACUGAAGUUUUCAAGAUGCUUGAUUUCUUGAUAGACAACAUAUCUGUUACGUUAGGAGGACAUGUUUUUCAUCAGACUUUCGCCAUUCCGAUUAGAACAAAUUGUGCUGCUCUUCUAUCCGACUUGUUUUUAACUAAUAUACAUAGGAAGAAAGAUAAGAAGUUAGCAAUAUUCUUUUACUUUACUUUCCACUGUGAAUAUAUAAUGAAUGUUUACAAAUUUUCGUUUUAGUAUUACAGUAUCAUGAUGAAAUUUUGUUGUUUGAUUGUAAUCAUCCUCUACACAAUUCAUGUUUCUACUGGCGGAAGUAAGUAUUCUUUGUGUUUUAUCGUAUACAGGUAUGUGCUGUCCUUACUUAUACACAAUAGAAUUACCUGAUUUUACAUCAAUACAUAAUUGUAUUGUAUGUGCUAGACCACUUUAAAUCAAUAAAAAGAAACUUAAAAAAUGACAAAGUAUAUAACGCUCGUAUACAAGAAUGGUCAGGAAUAUGGCAGCUGAUUCAUAUAGUCCGUUUCUAGGUAUGUUGGCGCUUGCCUUGUUGACGUUUAGUGAUUUCGUUGUUUCUGGAAUUUUUCCUCUCAAAGUUGAUGUGUUAACCUCGGUUUAAGUUUGUUACCGGAAUUGGUUUUUGAGUAGUGAAAUUAUGACUAUUGAACAACAGUAACACGACGGAUGCCACAUGUAGAGCAGGAUAUACUUACCCUUCGAGAGCAACCAAAAUUUAGGGUUGGGUUUGUUGUUGUACCCCUAUUUGUGACACUUUGUUCGUGCAUCGAUGUCAAUAUAAUGACAUUUGAUGCGAUUGUCGUACAAGUGAGAGGUUUAGCGCUAUAAAACCAGGUUCAAUCUACCAUGUUCUACAUGUGAAAAUGCUUGUACCAAGUCUUGAAUAUGACAGUUGUUGUCCAUUUGUUUGAUUCGUUUUUUAAAAUUUGAUUUUGCCAUUUGAUUAGGAACUUUCCGUUUUGAAAUUUCCUCGGAGUUCAGUAUUUUUGUGAUUUUACUUUAUACUACUAUUGCCUUUAUUUAAUUACCGGUAUCUCGAUAUGGGUCAUGUUGAAUCUAAGACAAUGAAUGUGUCCUUAAUUUAAAUUCGAGUAAAAAUAUGAAUAACUUAAUUUAACAUGUUUAAUGUUUCUUUGAAUUAAAUCUAUCAGAAAAAAAUGUUGUUCAUAUGAAACAUUCACCUUACGUUAAAAAUAAAAUAAGGUUAUUAUAAGAGGUUUGGGUUUCAAUUUAUAUGAACCUAUUUUACUUUCCAUAAACUCAUUACCGCAAUGAAGAAUUUAACUUUAAGAGUACGACUAAAACAGGUUUUUUUUCAAAUAAAAGCUAUUUUCUUAUUGUAUAAUGCAGAAAUUGGAGCUCAUAAUGUCACAUUAUAUUUAAGAACUUUACUCUUUAGAACUCACAGGAAAGUGUCUUGUUUCAAAUGGGACAUGUGGACGGAAAGGUCUUACUUGUGAUGAUGGAUCGAAAAAGAAAGAUGUUGCAAUGGAGAACCAUGUUGUAAAUGUAAGUAAACACAUAAAGCAUGAUCGAUAGUUCUUGUCCCUUCUAUAAAAAAUGAAACAUAGGCAAAAGAUCAUGAUGUAAAAUAAGAUUAAACAAUAUAAAAAGCAAUAUAUUAUUGUCUUUGAAUUAAACGUACAUAUUUGACACCUUUUAUCAAGUUAUGUUAACAACAAAAUAUAACAAAAUAUCAUUAGAACACAAGGUUCUCAAACAAUGACGAUAUUAUACAGUCACUUGUUUUACAUUUUUAUGGAAAAACAAUGCCGAUAAUGUAUACAAUUGUCAUCAUUAAGGAUACACCAGAACAAUAAAAUUAAAUUAUUAAACUAAUUUAAUUUUAAUUUUAAAAAUUGUAAGAAGUUAAUUUCUAAUUUCUGCUAAGUUUCAGAGAUCAAUGCCCUAUAAAAAUAGUUUGGACAAAUAACGAUUUAAACACAUCACAAUUUGUUUUAUGUGAUCUGGAAAAAGUUAAUAAAUGGAAUCAUUUAGCAACCAGUCCUAUUGUUGGCUACUUUUCUACAGCUUUGCCUGCGUGACAGAUUUUUUACGUGAUUCUCAUGACCAAUCUCAUGGUUGGAGACCACAGCCUACCUGCUCUUUCUCAAUAAUAUGUUAUAUCAAAAUAAUUGAAAAUUUCAUCCACUCUAAUUCAAAAUAUGGACAAUUUUAAAAUUUAUGUUGUGGGGAUCUAGAAAACUUUUGACAGCUUCUGAAAUGCUUAUUUUAAAUCUGUUUUAGCUGGACCUAAUCACUACUCGUGUAUAAAAACUUAGAUAUCUAACCUUGAGUCAUAUCAUUUUUAUUAGUUAAAUCUAAAAAUAUAUAUUUUACUUAAAAUAUAUCGAUAACGCAAACACAAAUAAGGUAUGCAUAUUACUCACCUCAUAGCAAUAAUCAUAUUAUUUUGCGAGAAUGCAGUAUAUUGGUCAUUCUAUUUCAAAGAAGUUAAAUCACCUUUGGUGUAAUAUCCUAGAUAGAAUGUAUUACUAUUUUUCAUUGAUGAAUUUUGGUUUACCCUAUCUAGUUGUUAACAGUUGCCUUAUACAGUACAACCAUUCUAUAUAGGUUUAUCACGGUGUGUAUGUCGUCAAAAUACCAUGGGUUUAAUUUGACGAAAUAGUUGUCUUCCUCGUGGCAGUUAUACAUUACAUUUUCAUCCUGCCAAUGUUGUACAUAUAACCUAAUGACAUUUGUUGGUGUCAUCAGUUAAUUCAAUGUUGCAGCUAUUUUUUUCAAUAUUUAACUCUUAUUGUGUUAUAAAAAAUAGUACCAUGUGUUCCCACUGCCAAUUGUGCUGAAGGAUAUGUGCUGUUAGAUAACCAAACCGCUAGUCGUAAUUGCUACGCUCACUCUAAACCGGAUCACCUUUACGAAACAUGGGCUAAUGCUUUGGUGAGUAUGUUUUAUGUUGUAUCAGAUUCAAUUUUCCCUUAUUCAAGUAUUGUUGAUUUUGAGUGGUUGAUAUGUUAUGAAAUAUGAAAGCAUACAUGUCUGAGAAAUUAUUCAAACGGAUCUACCUUUUUUCAUGUCUAUCAUUGUUUUUGUUAUCAAUAAAAUUGAGAAUGGAAAUAAAGAAUGGGAAACACAUAUGUGCCUUUGUCUUCUUUCACAGAGACGCUUGACAUUUUAUUUCAAUUAAUUAAUAUUUGUUUUUGUAUAUGGAUGGAAGACCACAGAAUAAUAGCAUUAUAUUAAACAUAUUUAACUCAAUUACCUCUAUUUAUAGUUGAUUGAUUGAUGUUGGUGUUUAACGCCACUUUCAGCAAUAUCUUCUGAACAUGAUAUUUUUCUGCAAAAAAGAGGUAUCAAUGUGAGGCGAAUACUUAGUGAUACCAUGAAAAUAACUAUCGUUAAGAAACGUAUCGGUCAAGAUUGAAUUAUAAAACAUAAGUAUUACUUAAUAGCGAUAGAAAUACAUGAAAAAAUAAUCCAUGUAUAUCGGGUUCUAUUUAAAAAUACAUGCAUAUUGUAUACAUUGAAGAUUAACCAAUAAUGUAUGCAUUAUCACUGCAAUGUUAAAAUAGAUGAUUCAUUAUUUUACAGGGAACUUCUCAUGGGUAUUAUAAGCUCGAAUUUAAACGCUCAACCAACUGAACAUUCACAUACAUCGUAGGCUUGAAGUCAGGGUUUGUCGAAACCGAGGAGAUCAAAUAUCUAAAAAUAUAGCAUUGUUCCCAAGCCAGACAGAACUUAAAAUACCUGAAACCAAUCGUUAGUAAAUCACUGAAUUGCGUACGGAUUAGUUAAAAGCUCACAUAAGUUAUUAAUUGCCGUGCUUUCUGCUCCGGUGUGAAAAUGUUUAUUUGUUGUCUAAUCUUUAUUUAUCUUAUAAAAUGUAUGGACUGUUCUUAAUUUAAGUCGAUAUGUAACAUGACAACCAGGCGCUUAUUAUGGAGACCAAUAGUCAAGCAGAAAGCUAUGCUGUUUUAAACUGUUUAGAUGCGGUAAAUCUAUUAUUACGUUACUAUUAUUUCAUUUUCAUAUUGUAAACUAAUAACAACAGCGUCUAUUGAUUGACUAACAUUUUAUUUUACUAUUCUUAGAAAUUAUGAAAAAAAUACUUCACUUUUUAACCAUCAAAUCAGUUGAACGACAUUAUAUCUUCACACAUAUGGUUUGUAAUUUUUGAAUUUUACUGCCAUCCUAAUAGCACAAAAGAUUGAGAGAGCAAGUAAUUCUACUUGAUGAGUUUUUAGUUUUAAAAAACAUAUGGAAAUGUGCUAAAACAACAGAUACGGAUUGUAUUACCCAAGCUUAAGUUAAAAUAAAAUAUGCAUAUAUAAAGAAGAUUUGGUUUUGAAGUUUGGUUGUUCCUGUAAACAAACUUAUUUCAAAAACGGUAUAGCACAUCUCUAAUUUACGGAAAUGAUAUUUUCCGUGCCCGGAAAUUAAGAAACAAUCCUGGUAUAGCAUCUUCUCUAAUUUACGAAAUGUUGUUUACCGUACCCCGGAAAUUAAGAAACAAUCCUGGUAUAGCACCUCCUCUAAUUUACAGAAAUGUUGUUUACCGUACCCGGAAAUUAAGAAACAAUCCUGGUAUAGCACCUCCUCUAAUUUACGGAAAUGUUGUUUACCGUGCCCGGAAAUUAAGAAACAAUCCUGGUAUAGCACCUCCUCUAAUUUCAAAUUUUCAGCAAUAUCUUCUGAACAUGAUAUUUUUCUGCAAAAAAAAAUAAUGGCAUUUAUAUGGUCGUGUGGUCUAGCGGGACGGCUACAGUGCCGGCGAUUUGGAUCAACGAUAAAUUUACCGCUGCUGGAAAUUAAGAACAAUCUGGUAUAGCACCUUCUCUAUUUUACGGAAAUGUUGUUUCCGUGCCCGGAAAAUAAGGAAAACAAAUCCUGGUAACUUUAAUAAACUUAUCCUGUUACCAUCAAACACUGUUUUAGAUACUGAAAUAUGUUUUUAUUGGUAUCAAUAUUAAUUUUGAAAUAGAUAAAUUAAAAGCCAAACACACGUGACAAGUAACACUACGACAUUGAAGUUAUAAUUUGAUAUAGCGGAUGUGGUCAAGUUGGUCUAUACGCGCAGGAUAUGAAGCUAGCGAUUGGUAGUGUAGUAUAUCAAAGGUGUGGAGUUUCGAAUCCCGCUGAGGGACGCGACUAAAAUUGUUCAGGAAAAAUCUAACUCUUACACUGUUGUGUAUUUUCAGACUAUAUAUAUUAUAUAUAUAUAUAAUACAACUCAUCUAAAAUCAACCCAACAAUGUGUAGAUCUGUAAAUUUGCUUUCGCAAUUUACUUUGUUUUCCUCGCCGGGAUUUGGAACCAUGCUACUUUCGAGAAUAAGUCGGAAUACCAAAGAUCGCCUGCACUGUAGCGUCCGGACCAUAAGACACCUACGAUAUCCAAUAUUAUAUGGCAUUUUUAUUCUUACUUUCGUCUUAAGUCUUUAUAUGGUCUUCUUACUCAUUACAACCAAAACUGUAUUGGUAUUCAGAGAACCAGAUAUGCGUUAGGCUUUGAGAGAUAUGAUGUAGAUGUUAUGUAGUACAAAUAUCAAUAUAUUUGCGAAUUUCCAUGGGUUAUAGGAACAAAUUUGUGAAAUUAUUUGAUAAAAUGAAUAUUGAGUCAAAUUAGGCUUUCCGGUGCCGUUUGUUUUCCUUUCCACGUCAGUUUUAAUCAACGGUCGUAUUACAUUACAUGAUAGUAUAAGGUAUAGACUGUUAUUCUUAACAGAUUCAGUUAAAUAUAUCUAUACGUAAGGAUCUGACAAAAUCAUGUAAGAUACAGUCACAGAAAAUCAAUUAUAUUAUAAGCUACGCUUUAUCCUAUCGGAUUCACAGCAGUGAUAGGUGAUACAUUGUCUGUGACUUAUGUUUAGACAACUCGUCUAAACAUUUAGUCGCAACAACGUUAGAUUGAAAAUUUGCUUUCGCAAAUUUUUUGUUCUUCCCUCGUCGGAUUGGAAUGCCCAUGCUGUACUGAAGAUAUCUGUGCAUACCAAAUCGCUCUGCACUUGUAGCCGUCCGCUAGACCACACGACACCUGGGGUUUUAAUCAAGCGUCGAUCAUUACAUCGAUAUACUAAGGCAGUGAAGAUGUCAUUCUUUACAGAUCAGUAAAAUUUCUAUAGUUAAAGGAUCCUACAAAUUAAUGGUAAGAUACAGUCCCAGAAAUAAUUAUAUUUUAUUCACAGUACGUCUGAGCCAGUGACAGCCUCUACAACAGAUUUAUCCAUCGGAUCACCAGCAUGAUGGUGUUUACAUGGUUGUGCGUACACUAUGUAUAUAACAAUCAGGCUAAGACAUCAACUCGAACAAUUGGUAGAAGUCUGUAAAUUUGCUUUCGCAAAUAUUUGUUCUUCCCUCAAGAGGAUUUGAACCCAUGCUACUGAUAUAUCGUGACGCAGUGCAGGCGAUUUGGUGUCACGAUAUUUCAGUAGCAUGGGUUCGACACAAACUCGCCUGCAGUGAUGUUUCAGCUUUUGAGGUCAGUAAAAUAUAUGUUUAUUUAAGUUUCAGUUGUCUUUCAUAUAACUAUAUGGGAUAGGGUUUGGGUAGGUCUAAGACAGUAUUUGCUACAGUCAUAUGGACUGGUGCAAAUAGUCCUGGUCAAGACGGAAAUUUUGCAUUUGCCGUAGACAAUAGUGGAUAUUACAUAUUACACUUUGAAAUCAGUUUUGUGUUAGUCUAAGACAGUAUUUACGAACUGACAGCUGGGAUUAAGAAUCUUCCUACAAGUCUUAUGAUACUAAUUAUAAGUCAAUUCCUUUUAGGCUCUGCAAUAUGGACUGGUGCAUAUAGUCCUGGCCAAGACGGAAAUUUUGUAUUUGCUGUAGACAAUGGUGUUUUUAACUUUACGAAUAUUCCCUUUGGAAGCGGUAAGAAUCUUCGAAGAUAAUUAAGUAAACCGAACUAUUGUUUAAAAUGUACUGUUUAUAAUACUUAUGUCAUAUAUGUGUAAUCAAAAGAUACUUCGAUCAUAAUGAAAAAAGCAGAAGAGUUUGGGAUAUAUGGAUAAAAUUGAUGUGAGAUAUACGUCAAUGUGACAGUAAACACAAAAAAAGACAUAACGAGGUCAAACUACUCAUAGUACUGUUAUCAAAAGAAGAAGUCUUAAAUCGUACGAGGUUGCUAAAUUUCGAAAGAAACUGGAUUUAUGUCAUAACAUUCACCACUUCUAAUCGAAAGGGAGUACGAUAAAGUACAUACAAUAAACAAAAGUACAGCAAACUUUAAAUCAGUUAAAAGACGAUACAACGAUAACGAUAUCACAAAAAAAGGCAAAAGUACAUUACCGAUGUUCUGAUAUCCUAAAUCGAUAAGGAAGACAAACGAAGGUUAAAUAAAAAAAAAAUGGAAUCUUAGGAACACAACAAGAAGCAAUACCGGAUGUUUCGAAAAUGUUUGCAUUAAAAAUUCGAAUCUGGAGAUAGACAUCAGAUAACAUAAUAAUAUAACAUCUUCACACGCUUAAAAACACGUGUCUUAUUUCUAUCUCUAGUUUAGUCUUUCGUGACAAGGUAACACUACGACUUUUGAAGUUAUAUUUUAAUAUGUGGUCGAAUGGUUGGUCUAGAGCGUCUUGUCAGCAGAAAAUGUAACUCUUACACUGUUGGGUGUACUUGUCAGACUUAUAUAUCAUAAGUAAGUCUGAGUCAGUGACAACUCUACAACAGAUUUAUCCAUCGGAUCACCAGCAAUGAUGGAGAUACAGGUGUGUAUAUAUGUAUAUAACAACUCGUCUUAAACAUCAACCCCAACAAUGUUAGUCUGUAAUUUGCUUUGCUAAUUUUUGUUCUUCCCUCGCGGGAUUCGAAUAUGCCUACUGAGAAUAUCAGGAACAGCAAAUCGCCUGCACUGAUAUCGACGCGCUAGAUCCAAGCUCCACCCUUGGCGUUCAUUAAAAUAAGCUGUCGUGGCCGUGUUUCCUUUCCUCGUCAGUUUUUAUCUAGCGUGCAAAUACUGUACAUUGAUAUAAAAGGCAUGAAGAUGGAAUGAUACAGAUCAAGCUAAAAUAUCUAAUUUGGUAAAGGAUCUUUACAAAUUAAUUCAAGAUACAGUCACAGAAAUAAUUAUAUUUAUAAGUACAUCUGAACCAGUGACAACUCUACAACUAUAUAUAUAUAUAUAUCACUUGAGUCAAAUGGCUAAAUGAUCUUGAAUGACGAAUUUUACCGAUUUCUUGCUUUUCUACAGAAGCUAUUGUAUAUAUUUUUGACAACGGCUUUGUCUAUCAAAACUGUCGUUUUCCUUAUCUUUUUUUUCUGAUUUUUAUUUAAUUGUUUUUAUACGUUUUUUAGCAUGUAUUCUAAAAUAAAUGCCUUUUUUCUUUUUUUCAGUUGAUACGUCUUCAAUUACCCAAAACUGUAUUGGUAUUGAUAUUAGUUUUGAAGCAAAUGCGUUUUGGAUGGAUUUAGAUUGUAGUUACACAUUUAAAUAUAUUUGCGAAUUUCCAUGGGUUAGUAG
rnacentral:lncRNA from 1 species